AAAUUGAAGAGUUUGAUCAUGGCUCAGAUUGAACGCUGGCGGCAGGCCUAACACAUGCAAGUCGAACGGUAACAGGAAGCAGCUUGCUGCUUCGCUGACGAGUGGCGGACGGGUGAGUAAUGUCUGGGAAACUGCCUGAUGGAGGGGGAUAACUACUGGAAACGGUGGCUAAUACCGCAUAACGUCGCAAGACCAAAGAGGGGGACCUUCGGGCCUCUUGCCAUCAGAUGUGCCCAGAUGGGAUUAGCUUGUUGGUGAGGUAACGGCUCACCAAGGCGACGAUCCCUAGCUGGUCUGAGAGGAUGACCAGCCACACUGGAACUGAGACACGGUCCAGACUCCUGCGGGAGGCAGCAGUGGGGAAUAUUGCACAAUGGGCGCAAGCCUGAUGCAGCCAUGCCGCGUGUAUGAAGAAGGCCUUCGGGUUGUAAAGUACUUUCAGCGGGGAGGAAGGUGUUGUGGUUAAUAACC
rnacentral:rRNA from 1 species